UUCACAGAUUCCAUAUUAUCUUGAAAUACUUUUCUUUUAUAUACCAGAUUUGACAUGAAUUUGCACUUCAUAAACUACUACAAGUAUCAAGCCAUUCUCAUCCAAAUGUGGGUAAAGAAUUUGGGGGAAAAACUUAGUAAAAAUGUCUUAUUUUGUAAAGCAGUUUGAAAUUUUAAUUGAUUUUAUGGUAUUAAACAGUUGCAAAAAUAAUAGAAUUAUAUUCAACCUAUGUAUCCUUUUAGUGAGCAUGGGUGGGUAUUUCAGUACCAUCAACCAUUUUGCAGUUUUCAUGAGGUCUCUUUGAGUAACUAAAAAUUAUGUCCUUUCAAGCAAACUCUUUUCAGUGAAGUUAAUCCAAAAGUUCCUAGAUUAAAUAUUUCAAAUACAUUUUGCUUAUGUGACAUUCUUCUCCAGGGCUCCAGUGUACCCUCCUAUUGUUGCCAGUUCCAAACCCAUUUUGAGGUCUCAGCUUUUUCCAUGAGAAUGUCAAAACUGGAGGCCUUUCAAAGUAGCUGCUGUGAACACGGAGGCCCCACAGACAGGCUGACAGUCCCUCCAGUUGCUCUCAGAGACUUGCCUCAAGUGGAUACACAGAGCAAUUCUCCAGACACAGACGCAUCUGAUGUCCUUUCCCGAAAAUAUCAUUUCCAGAAAAGAUGCUGACCAAGAAGAAACAGCAGGGGUGAGAGAGUGGCCAAAGCACUUGAAACAUCUUAACAAGCACUAAUUAAAUGUCGUGCUUAAAAAAUACGGCUUAAGAAAGCCAAAUACAAUAACUUCUUACAGAUGGUUUUAGGAACUAACAAGACCUGUAGGAAAUGGCGCAUUAAGAUUAGUGUCCCCGAAGUCUCUUACAACCAUUAGUGACUGAAGGUGCUGUGCACUUUAGAAGGAAAUAAUCAGAAUUUGCCUGAUGUGAAGCUGUUUGGUUUUUUUCUCAUUUCUCUCUGAAGGGAACUGCGCAUCUGUCAGUGCAUUACACAGUCAAUAUUGACACGGCCAGCCAAUGGAAUAUAAAAGGAGCAUUAGCGGCCUUGAAAUCUAUUUUUUUCUGACGGGGUGCAAAGCCAUCCGAAAAACAAUUACCUCUCCAAAGAGGUGCCACAGAUGUAAUGUUGCAGGUCCCAAAGGUGUUGCCCUUCAUGUCCAGAUGGCACAGCACUGCACCAAAGCUGGCCCCUCAGCAGCUGUGACAGACAAGGAGCAACCCCCACAUGUGCAGCUUAGCAGGAUGCCACCCAGAGGUCUGAGACACGGUCAGGGAAGAAGAACGGAGGAGAAAAGAAGAGAAGGUGAGGGAAGCAUAGACAAGAAAGCAAGGGAGAGAGAGGGAGAGAAAACUGCAAACAGUCAUCUGCCACUGCCUCCCAACUGGCCUCUCCAACCACAGGCCAGCCUCCUUCCAAGUUCCUCAGCAGAGAGCUGCGUUCAGAAAGAAGCAAAUGAGGGAUGUGGAGGCAGAAGACCUGGAAGUCUGGACUUGUCAUCUGAAACGUCUGAACUCAGGCAAGCCAAGAACCUCUCUGGGUCUCAGUUUCCUCAUCUGUAAAAAUGAAAUAAGGAUAAGGUCCAUUUCACCAAAUAUUGAACACCUAAUGAGAUCAUGUAUUUUUAACAGCUUUAUUGAGUUGUAAUGGACAUAUAAUAAACUGUACAUGUUAAGCGAUGAUGCAUUUGGAAAGAAGCAUUUGUAAACCAUAAAACUUUCAUCUCUACCAGGCUCAGAAUCCCACAGUAGCUCCCUAAUUUCUUUAAGCCAUUUUCUGUCUGGUUUUUAGGAGUCUUCAUAACCGGUCUGCACCUUACCCGGCCACCUCAUUUCUUACCAUUUUCCACUACAGACUCAUAACAAUGAGGCCAGCCUUCUUCAUUCAGCAUUCUCUCCACUGGUUUUUCCCUGGAACACCAACAAUGACCACCAAGCCCCUCUGCUCAUCUUCAGCAUCUUCAUUCUCCCGCAUUUGUUCAGCCGUUGAACACUGAACACUCUGACAAAUACUGUCCUAUGUACUGGGGAUGCUUCUGGGAGCAAGAAAGAGAAGUUCACUGCCAUCAAGGGCCCUCCGAGAGAGCUCUUGACAGUAAACAGGGUGUUCCCUGCCAGCAUCCUCCUCCCUAUGUGAAUCCUCCAGCUCUGAUGCUCUCUCCUCUGUGAAGUCUCUUUUAAGUACCAUUAACUCAUUAUCUUCUCUCUCUUUUUUCCUACAGCUCUUGUGGGCUGUUUCAUAUAAUUUAGGGUAUGUUUUAUUUUUUAAAAUUCUCACCUAAAAAGCACCACCCAGGAAGCUGGUUUUUUUCCACAAUCUUAUAACCCAGAGUAGACAUCAAAUGCUUGUUGAUUUCAGAAGAGCACAUCAGAAAAGCUGGGCAUGUGUGAGAAACUCUCCCAGGAAACAGAACCCACCAUUGCCCCUCAGUGGCACCUGUAUGGUGGGCUGGUCGGCCCUGCUGGGAGGGCAGCACUAGCAAGGACAGUCUGAUUCACGGCUUGUCCAAAGCCAACCACAGGGGAAGCCAUGCUCAAGGACAUCUUCCUGCUGCCGGCAAAAGACGAGUGUCUCCUAGCAACCGGCUUCCAGUGGCUUCCUGUCCUGGGAGCCUCCCUGUGCUCACAGCUUUACAUCCUGGGGUUUUGUAUUUUGGCCUUGCUAAUCACUGUGUUUAUUCUAGGUUCUGAAAAUUGAGGAAUAAAUGCAGGUUAGCUGCUGACGUUCAAGCGGAGACACCAUUUUAUUCAUAACCUCCUUUCAGCAACCACUCAUGACUUUCAUGGAACAGAAUGUUUGAUCUUAGUCUAAAAAGGGUAAAUAUAUUUUUUAAAGAUUUCAUUUAUAUCAAGGCAGUUGGUUUGAAAGAUACAUAAAAAAGGAAAAGCACACAUUCUUUCCAUCGAAUAAUCAAAAAGUACUCAGACCUUUUCAAAACAGAUACACUAUCAUUCAAAACCUGUUACAGCAAUAAACUCUAACUUGGCAAGUUCACAGAUGCAGAAGGAAAGGCAAGGCAAAUUGGAAGAAAAUGGUUCAAAGGUCCUUAAAAGUUUUGGUGGCUUAGAAUUAUGUCUGCUGCAAUAUGGAUUGAGCAUUUAUUUCCUCCAUGUUCUUCCUAGAAAGUCUAACCUUAGUUUCAAGGUAUAUAGUGCUACAUUUUUAUUUUUGUGGGAUUGAACUCCGCAGUUGAUGUUGCUUUGUAACAUUUUCUCUUGUUUUUAGCAAAUAUUCAUCAAGACACAAAUUCCUCAUCUGUUAAAAAAAUCAAUCAGACUUCCCACAGUGAAGAGCUCAAAACUAUAAGUAUAUCCUUUAUUCAAAAAACCCAUAAAUGUAAGUUAAAGGUAUGAUUACUUGUCUCUUUCAAUAAGAAAACUCAAAGACUUAAGGUGAGUUGAGUGCCCAGAGUUAAAUAUAUGAGAGGGCUGGUAAACCCCAGAACUCUUUUCCAGCAAAGCCACCAAAGCCUGGUACUGCCCGGGGUUCCCUGAGCAGCAAGUUGAGGUUUGGAGUCUGCUACUGCUGUAUUUAGGCAGUGAGCUUGGUCUCUGCAGACUUGUGAGUUCUUUGGAGGUAUCCCUCAGUUCCUCCCCCCAUUUCCCUCCCCCUGUCCAAGCAAUACAGCCACGAAGUCAUGAGUCCAAGAUUAAUUCUAACUGUUUUGGCCGUAGUAGACCCUCUAUAAACCUAAGAAUGACUUCUGCCUUCUCAGGGAUAGUAUAGGAUUUACCAGGUAGCACCAGUGACUUCUAACUUUUCAGCAUCUACUUUUGAAAUGUAUCCAUGGAUGGAGUUUUUAAUAGGGGGUGUUGCACUUUCCUUAGAAUAACUCACAGGCUCCUUAGCUUCCUAUUUUGGGGUUCUGUACAUAUUUGUUUUCGGGGGUACAAAAUGAAUCACAUGGCUACAGCAGGGCACUCCUGAAUGACUCUUGUUUAUUCAUUAAAGAAACUUGUACAUGAAUCAAGGCUUUCCUUAUGGUCUCAGGCUGUUCUUCAUUCCCUGAAAUGGUCAGAACAGCCAUCAAGCAUCUUGGAAGAAUGCAUAUCUUUAAAGGCCAUAAAGAAAGAACGUUUGGUUAAAAUGAAAAACUGCUCUGCCACCCACUCGUCUGAGUUCUCCUUUCUUCAUCUUUAAUCAAUAUGUAAAUCUGUUCACUUGAUGUUUUAAUACAAGUUGAGGUAAAUUCAGCUUCAUCAUGUUUUUCCACAGAGGGGAAAAAGUAACCCUGACUCUUCCUCUGGCCCUUUUCAAAUAUCUACAUGCAGUGGUGGAAUGAGCUGAGGACAUGAAAGGCCCUGGGAGGCAGGCCUGUGUCUUACCCUGCUGGGCCUAGUAUUCCAACCACCACACAAGACUAAUUCAAGAAUAACAGGCCUGGGUCCCAACCUUAAUCAUUUCCAUUUUCAUUAUGGUUUACACAUUAAUUGUAAAUGACCAGAUUGAUUAGGGACUCUUUUAAAAAGCCAAACAGAUUGGGAGGCAGUGCCGGAUAGCAUUUACUGUAUAGGUUUGAUAUUUCCAUAGACCUGGACUAAACAUCCAGACCUGUCAUUUACUAGCUGUGUGACCUUGGGAAAGUCACUAGGCUUCUCUGGGCCUCAAAUUUUCCUUAACUAUAAAAUAGGGAUUGUAACUACCUGUAUGAAAAUUAGAGUGAGAAUAAAAUGAAACAAUGUAUGCAAAAGAUUUUGCAUAGUGCCUGUAACUACCGUUUAUUGAAUAAAAGACUGUAAUACAAACUGCUUUGAUAUGUGUGGCA